GACGUAGGGCGCGAGCGUUGUCCGGAUUUAUUGGGCGUAAAGGGCGUGUAGGCGGCCAGGUAGGUCUGGUGUGAAAACUCGAGGCUUAACCUCGAGAUGUCAUCGGAAACCAUCUGGCUAGAGUCCGGAAGAGGAGAGUGGAAUUCCUGGUGUAGCGGUGAAAUGCGCAGAUAUCAGGAAGAACACCAAUGGCGAAAGCAGCUCUCUGGGACGGUACUGACGCUGAGACGCGAAAGCGUGGGGAGCAAACAGG
rnacentral:rRNA from 1 species